GUAGGUGGCAAGCGUUGUCCGGAAUUAUUGGGCGUAAAGCGCGCGCAGGCGGCUCUUUAAGUCUGAUGUGAAAGCCCACGGCUCAACCGUGGAGGGUCAUUGGAAACUGGAGAACUUGAGUACAGAAGAGGAAAGCGGAAUUCCACGUGUAGCGGUGAAAUGCGUAGAGAUGUGGAGGAACACCAGUGGCGAAGGCGGCUUUCUGGUCUGUAACUGACGCUGAGGCGCGAAAGCGUGGGGAGCAAACAGGAUUAGAUACCCUGGUAGUCCACGCCGUAAACGAUGAGUGCUAAGUGUUAGGGGGUUUCCGCCCCCCUUAGUGCUGCAGCUAACGCAUUAAGCACUCCGCCCUGGGAGUACGGCCGCAAGGCUG
rnacentral:rRNA from 1 species